CUUGCCUGGAAAAUUCCAUGGACACAGAAGCCUGGCGGGCAAGCUAUGGUCCAUGUGGUCACAAACGAGUCAGACACAAUUGAGCAACCGAGUGUGCACACAUGCACAAACAUUGUCCACAAUGUGUUUCUCAGAUUCAUGUGAAGACAUCAUGGUAGCCUAUUAAUGGUAGUCAUUGGGGAUCAUUGCUGGUAUGGAGGUAAGUACAGACAUGGGCCUAUACCAUAGCAAAUCCCAUCUGACCUUCAUAUAUCCAGCUAAGUGAUGAUGUGAUACUUCCUGUUACUCUGAUUUUUUAAGAUAUUGAGUUAGAAAGUGAUAGUCUUUACCACUUCUAGAUAUCCUCAGUUUUCAUUUGUUGUAUUUCUGGAAAUGUUCAUUUUUACCUCUGUGAAUGCUGAGGUUUUAUGUGAGUACAGUUAUUUAUCAUGGUGUUCCCCAUCUCAGUACUAGUCAUAGGAUUUUUACAGGUCUCCAGUCAAAAAGGGAUAUUUUAUCUUAUACUGGUGUUCACCUUGGCUUGCUACAAGUAUCCAGGUAAGUUGCUGUGUCUCCUAAUGAUGAAGUGACCAAAAUUAUUUGCAACUGUCAUGGUAGAAAAAGUUAUGUCCUUUAACAAACAUUUCGUAUUAUCAUUCUAGGUUCAUGUCAAGAGACCAUGGCUAAACUAACAGUGCUAAUUAGUGGUGACCAUGGCUUGUGUGCAGGUAAGUCAGGAUAUGGGCCUAAACCACAGCACAGGCCAUUUGAUCUUCAUAAAACUGGGUACCUUCUGAUAGUUUCUCUGACAGUUGAUGUUAGCAUUUUUUCUUUACAGGUAUUCAGGUGGUAGUAGUAGUGCUCACUCAGUUGUGUCCAACUCUUUGCGACCCCAUGAACUGUAGUCCUCCAGGCUCCUCUGUUCAUGGGAUUCUCCCAGCAAUAAUACUGGAGUGGGUUGCCAUUUCCUCCUCCAGGGUUCAAACCUGAGUCUCUUAGGUCUUCUGCAUUGGCAGGCAGAUUCUCUACCACUGCACCACCUUGAAAGCCCUAGGUAUUCAGGUAGAAAAGGACUGUUCUUAUCAAUUCUAGAAACCAUGAGUUUUCCAUUCUUAUAUUUUAGAGAGAAUUUUCAUUGAUGCUGUGAGUGAGGUGUGUUUGUCAUUUUCAGAUGAUUCUCAUGAUGCUCUUAACCAUGAUAGUAACCAUGAAAUAUUGCAGGUGUCCCAGAAUGAAAUGUUGUCAUAUCUGCAAAUGCCGACAACCUUGCUAUACUGCAGGUAUUCAGGUAGAGCUGAUGUUCUCAAAAUGAAGGAAAUGUCUGAGGUCAUUUGAAGGUGUCCUGCUGCAAGUUCUGUCCUUUGGAACUGUAGAAUGUGUUUUUCAGAUUCCUGUCAAGAGAUCAAGAUGAACUUAAUGGCUGUUAAAGGGGUCCUUUCUGAUGUCCAGGUAAGUGACAAUGUGCACCUUCCCCACAUCACAGCAUCCUGCAUUCACAUCUCUAGGUAAGUGGUAUUGAUUGGCUUAACUUGUUGUACCAUGUUUUUAAUUUCAGGUCUUCAGGUAAGAAAUGAUAGUGUUUUUAUUAAUCUUAACAAUUAUGAUUGUCUACUGUUUUAUAUUUUUGAGAGUUUAUUUUUAACCCUGUGAGUGAUGAGCAAUUCCUGGGUGUGCAGGCAGUAAUGACUAUGUGGCACAAUUGUGAAUGUGGCAUUUCUGCAGGGGAGCAGGGAAGAGAGGAUAGUAUUUAUAACCAUUAUAAUAAUAGCAUAGACCUUGGAGAACUGCAUGCCCCCAGGGAGAGGGGAAGAUGGGUUCUUUGGUGAAGGCAGUGUAUGAGGUCAUCUGCAGUGUCCAGACAAUUAAUUGUGUCCAUAGACACAUUUGUCACAAUGUUUUCUCCAGGUUCCUGUCUAGAGAUCAUGGUGCACUUCUCCAUGACCAUGAAAAGAACUCAGCUUUUAUCCAAGUGAGUGACACCAUGGGCCUUUCGCAGAAGCCAGGCCAUCUAGUCUUCAGAUAUCUGAGUACAUGGAUAGAAUUUCCCUAACAGAGUGUCACCCUGUUGUUUUGCUCGUGAUCCAUUAAGUCCUUUCCUAAGGUGCAGGUAUGUGGUUAUAUGACUUUCCUUCAUUACAGAGCUUCUUAUUUUCAUAUAUGUGAAUGAUGAUGCUUUCAUCUCUCUGUGUUAAGUAUAACUUUGGCAUGUUUGCCAUUUAGAAUUUAAAUUGACCCCAACAAUACCAGUUAAGUCGGAUAUUUGACUAUGUUCUUGUUCACAGGUUAUGUGUUUUAUGUACGUGUAGUGAUAGAUGCAGAGAAGGCAAUGGCACCCCACUCCAGUGUUCUUGCCUGGAGAAUCCCAGGGACAGGGGAGCCUGGUGGGCUUCCGUCUGUGGGGUCACACAGAGUUGGACACGACUGAAGCGACUUAGCAGCAGCAGCAGCAGCAGUGAUAGAUGAAUCAGUGGAUGAUUUGUCAUACUGUCCAUCAGUGGUUAACGUUCACUUUGAGGUUUUUCCAGGCAUCCCUGCAAGAGAGGAAAGAAUCUCUUUUUAUUAAUCUCAGGUUUCCACAGUUAUCCAUGGAAUAGCAAUGUGUCUUGAAAUGGUUGAAUUGAACAAGGAAUUUUCAGGUGGCCCAGUGGAGUAAGAUGCGUACCAAACACAUUUUACACAGUUGUUUUCAGCUUCAUGUGAAAGCAUCACAGUGAACUUAUUCACAGUAGUUAUCAAGGCACAUCGCAGACAUGGAGGGAAGUGGUGACUUGCGCUGAAGCCACAACCUAAAUCAUGUGAUCUUCAUGCAUAAAAGUUAGUGUUGAUGAUGUCCCUAACACUUGUGCUUCCCUAAUUAUUUUUGCAGGUGUGCAGUUCAGGUCUUAAGUAGUACAUAGGUAUGAGAUGAUGUGAUGUAAACACAUCAGUGAAAAUUGCCCAGUCGUAUCUGACUCUUUGCGACCCCAUGGACCAUACAAUCCAUGAAACUCUCUAGGCCAGGAUACUGGAGCGGGUAGCCAUUCCCUUCUCCAGGGGAUCUUCCCAACCCACGGAUAGAAUCCAGGUCUCCUUCGUUGCAGACAGAUUUUUUACCAGCAGAGCCACUGGGGAAGCCUAUUAGAGGGCUGCUUAUUUUCAGAUAUCUUUGUAAUCAUCUGAUAUUUAACUUGUUUGGCACAAGUGUAGGCUAAAUUAAUUUGUGCCUAGUAAUACUAGCAAGCAAUAGUUUUUUAUUGUGAUCUUGUACAGAUAUAAUGUGUGUUUCUCACUUGAGCUGGUAGACAGAUUGCAAGCAUCCAGGCAGUUUGUUAUAUUGUUCUAAUGGCUUUAUUAACCACAGGAUAUUUGCAAGUAGCCCUUCAGGGGAGAAAGGUCUGUGUGUUACUCGGGUUUAUCCUCAGAGUUCUCCAAGUAUCCAAGUAAUAUUGAUGGAUCUCAAAAUGAUAUAGGUGACAGAGGGGCUUGCUGGUGCACAGGUGACAUGCAGCAUUAUACCAAGCACGUUUUUCACAGUGUGUUUUUCAGGGCUUGCGAAGCAAGCCAGUCAGUGGCAGUUGAUAGCUGGACACAGCUGGUGUUGAGGUAAGUGAUGGCAUGGCCUAAACCACAUCACAGACCAUCCAGUUUUCCUGUAUGGAGGUAAGUGAUGGCAGGUGUCAAGAAUGCUUGUCAGUAUGACUUAGAUACAGAUGUUCAGGUAUGAAAUGAUAGAGUCAUUACCAAAUCUAGAGACUCUGAGUUUUCACUUUUUUGUUUCAGGUGAAAUUUAUAUUUAACAUAGGGGCACUCAAGGGUUGCAGGUAUACAGGUACUUAUGGUGGUUUUCCCCACCACAGUACCACCCACAGGAUUUGUACAGGUGUCCAGGCAAGAAAUGAUAGUUUUCCAACCUUGGUGUUAACUUUGGAUUCCUGCAGGUACCCAGGUAAAGUUGAUGUCUCCUCAUGAGGAAGUGACCAAGGUUAUUUGCAGGUGUCCUGGUAGAAAAAAAAACUUGUGCCCUUUAACAUAUGGUUUAUAAUAUUUCUUUCAUGUUUCCUUCUAGAAAUCUCAGAAAUUGGUUGUUGAUGGGGAGACAUGGUUGGUGUGCAGGGAAGUGAUGGUGUGGGCCUGAACCACUACAUGGGCCUUCCUGUCUCCAGGUAGCUACGUAGGUGAUGGUAGUGUUCCUCACACUUGUUACCAUGAUUUCCUUGCAGCCUUUCAGAUGGAAACAGUGGAUCUCUUACCAGUUCUAGAAACCAGGAGUUUUCAUUUAUUAUUAUUUUUAAAAUUUUGUCUUUCUCUGAGUAUUGAGUAAUUUCACAUAACCAGAGAUAAUUAGCACAAUGAACCUAGCUAGCCAUGAUAGUGACUGUGGAAAUCUUGCACAUGUGCCCUAUUAAAAUAAAUAAAUUUAUAUUAAAAAAAUAAAAAGGUAUAAAACAGAAAAAAAUAAAAAAAAUAAAAUUUACGCACAAUUUAAAAAAAAAAAAAAAGAAAUGUCUGCUUACCUGGGAAUAUUCCUAACUUGGAUUCCUGCCAGUAUUCAAUGAACGCUGAUGUUCUUAUAAUGAUGAAAGCAGUGUCUUCAGGUGUCUUGGUAGAACAAAUUGUGUCCUUUUUACAUGGAUCAUAAUGUUUUUUUCACCUUUGUGUCAAGAGAUCAUGGUGAACCUUACAAUGGUUGUUCUCAGAGGCAUAUCUGGCAUCCAGGUAAGUGAUUACAGGCACCUUCAUCACAUCAGCCACCAUCCAGUCUUCAAACGCUUAGGUAAGUGAUAUUUGUUACUGUUUUGCCAUGGGAUUUGGGGGCUAGGUUUUCAGGUAAGAAUUGAUAGUAUUCCACUAGUUCUAGCAACCAUGUCACCCUCCUGUUUUAUAUUUUUAAAAAGAUUUCUAUUUUACCAUGUAAUUGUUGACAAACUUUUUGUUUACCAUGGCUUUUUGCAGUUUUCUUGUCAAGGACAGGAUUGUGUCUAACUAAGGUGUUGAUCUUAGACUUUUGCAAGUUUUCAGGUAGAUUUGAUUAGCCCCAUAAAUUUAAUGGAAUUUCCCCAAGUGUUCACUAUUAUCAUUUGUCUUUAUAAUACCAAAUAAAGAGUACUGUAUAAUACCAAAAGAAGGCCUCACAUCAUCUCUUAACUGGACCACCAGCAAAAUGCAAAAUUGAAUCUUAAUAUUAGUUGGGCCAUCAUCUCUUGGAUAUUUUUGUGGAUAUUUACUGAAGAGGAGAUAUUAUCUCUAUCCAAAGUCUUGACCUUGUUUUUGUUUUUGUUUUUGCAAAUAAAAUAUCCAGGUAGACUUAAUGGUUCCCCUUAAGUUUGUAGUGCUCAUAGGAUUUUUCAGCAUCCAGAUUGUAGAAUUAUCCUUAAACACUAGUGUCUCUUUAGUUGUUGCAGAUUCCAAUUAAGAGACUGUUGAGAAGCUCUGUACAGUAUUGGAGGCAGAAUUUUGCUUGCGUCUAACUAUAAGAUGAUGAUGUUCAUAACAAAGUUAGAGCUCUUGAGAUUGUGCAGAUAUCCAGACAGACACCAGUAGGGAUGUGUGAUAUCUUACCUGGAUAUCUGUAAACUCCCAAGGUCAUUAUCUUGAUUAGGAACACCAUCUACUCUUGCCUGAAAAUUUCAAGAAAACACAUUAGUUAGAGACACCUUCAUAGUGUGACAGGAUAUCUGAAAUUUCCUUGAUCACUGUGAUGGUUGGUCAACACAACUUAAAGGACACUUGCAAAUAAACAUGGUCACUAGGUUGGCUGAAGGACCUUGGCGGUCCUUUCACAUAAAUAAUUGGUUGCUUGAGGCUGCUCUGGUUAGCAGGACUGUAUAUAGCACGCCAGCUACCAAACCUGUCAUUAUCUCAAGCAUCACCUUCCCUGGCACCUGGAGUCCUAUUAGGACCUUCAUCAUUUCUUCUAUCAUCCUUUGGUACUUCUAGUCUUUUCUCUUUCCCUCAGGACUGGUUAACACAGAUGCUAAUGUGUCAGUGAGGUUUUGAAAAUAACACUUCUCAUAGCAGUGGUUUGAGCUAAUAGUGAUUUUCAUCUCAAAUGUCUUACAAACACUAAUUAAGCUUCUAGCUCCCUAGUAGUCUUAGGCCAGUCUGGAGUGAGUUCCCAGUUUCCCCUCAAGCUACUGAAAGUCCUCUAGGAAACAGAAGGCCGGGGGGCUAGAGCCUGACAGCCUUUUUCUUGAAAGAAGGUUGAAUAAACUUUUAGAACUUUUGUGAUGCUUAGAGAGUGAAGUCUUGGGGUGCUUUAUCAGAUGAAACCCCUUGGAAUGUUUUAUUAAAUGAAGUCUAGCUAGUUUAAGCCAUCUGUCAGAAAGAUAUUUAUUUUUUUAUAAUUUAUUUUUUAAAUGUAUUUUUAAAAUUGUUACAGAAAAGUAUACACCUAUUGAGUUAGUGCAGUAGGGAAAUAGAUUAAAUCACAAACCUAAAUCAGUUCAUUAAGACAAUAGUUAUUUCUCAAUAGAAAGAGGAAAAAAAUACUGCUGGCAGGUGUGACUGAAAAGAAAGAUGUGAGAGAACAGGAGGUCCUUGAAAGCAUUCUUUCCAUUUCCUCGUUCUGAUCAGAAAUUCAGACAAAAUCUUUAGAAAAAGCACCUGAAAAAACAGUAUCUCCUGAUUCAAAAUGCAGAAGCACAGGCAUAAUGCAAUGGUGAAAUUCAUUCAUGGACAUUUUCAUCAGAAUCAAUGAUUCUCAACCAGGUGUGUGAUGUUGCCCCCCAGGGGACAUUUGACAAUGUCUGGAGACAUUUGGGGUGGUCAUGACUCCCAGGGCAGGUGAAGUGACGCUGGCAUCUAGUAUGUAGAGAUGAGGGAUGCUGCUGUGAAUGUCCUACAAUGCACGUGGCAGCUCCCAUCACAAAUAAUGAUCCAGCCCCCAAAAUUAGCAGUGCUAAGGCUGAAGAACUCUGCUCUAAACCCCUUCCCUUGCUGGAGCAGUAGCUCCAGUCUUCCAUACAGGUACAUGAGUUAUAUGCCAUUGAUAUGGUUGACCUCAACCUCACCCAGGGCUUCUCAGAUGACUCAGCAUAAAGAGUCCACCUGCCAACGCAAGAGACAUGGGUUUGAUCCCUGGGUCAGGAAAGAUCCCCUGGAGAAGGGAAUGGCACCCACUCCUGUAUUCUUGCCUGGAGAAUCCAUGGACAGAGGAGCCUGGUGGGCUAUCAUCCAUGGGGUCACAGAGUUGGACACAACUUAAACAUUAAAUCACCACCAAUCUCCCCCUCCUCAACUCCAGCAGGCCCAGCCUCAUGAUCUUCCCACUGCUUGCUCUAGGAUACCUUCAUCAGGCCUGGCAGCCCCGUCUGUGCAGUGUCUAAACUGGAACGUGUUCCUAACCGUAACACUGUGGAUUUUCUCAGAAGAAGAAGGUCGUAUCUGGAGAAGAUCUGAGGCUAAGAAUGAAAGCAACCCAGGCAAACUCUGCCUGAAGGAAAGCACCAUACCCACUACCUAGUGAACCUGCAGACUCCAAAGUGAGCAAUAAAGACUUGUAUUUAAGGAGAAAUUGAUGCUGCUGGAGGGAGAUGGUAAUGACUUUAUGGAGGAAGUAACUUGUAGGCAGAUUAUUUUUUAAAAUAAUAAAAAUUCUUAAUUCCAUUUUUGAAAAAAAAAUUGUAUAGCUCUUGUCAUUGUCAAAAUUUUGGAAAAUAUAGCAAAUACUGAAAUGAAAGUCAGGGAUGACAUCUAUUGAUAUUUUUUGUAUUAGUCCUCCAUGCAUACUAUGCCAUUAUACACUCUGGGGCUUUGCCUUUUAUGGCCCAAAAUCUAUCGGCAUUCUUAUAUAUGAACAAAUAUUCUUUGAAAACAUAGUUUGUAAUGGCUGCAUAGUAUUCAUGGCAGCACUAACUUGAGCUUUAAAGACAAGAUGAAGGACACCAGAAAGACAUGUUUCCAUUUAUUUGUUUAAAAUUAUUUAUCGAGUAUUCAGUAGUUCUGGGCAGUGUUCAAGGCACUAGGAAAACAACUGUUACAAAGAGACAAAGCCCCAGUAUCUGUCAACAGACGAUCAAUAAAGAAAUCAUAGUCUAUUCAUACAAUGCAAAACUACUCAACAAUAAAAAAAGAACUACUACUGGUAUGGAGCUACAGUAUGGAUGAACUUCAGAAACAUUAUACUGAGUGAAAGUAGCCAGACACCAAAGGCUCUAUGUUAUGAUUGCAUUGUUAUAAAACUCUAGAUGAUUCAAACCAAUCUAUAGUGAUAGGAAGCAGACUAGCAGGUGGGGGGAAAGAGGAGACAGGGAGGGCAGAAGGGAGUUGCAAGGGGCAUGAGAAACCUUUUGGAGGUGGGGGAUAUGUUUAUUAUCUUGACUGUAGUGAUGAGGUCAUGAAUGUAUACAUAAGUCAAAACUUUAAAACAAGUUUUUAUUUUAUAUUAUAGCUGAUUUACAAUGUUGUAUUGCUUUCAGGUGUACAGCAAAAUGGUUCAGUUGUACAUAAUACUGUUCUUUUUCCAAUUUUUUUGCCAUGUGGGUUAUUACAGAAUAUUGAGUAGAAUUCCCUGUGCUAUAAGUAAGUCCUUGUUGGUUAUCUAUUAAUAUUUUAAAUAUAGUAGUGUGUAUAUAUCAAUCCCAAACUCUCAAUUUACUCCCCCCCACCUUUCCCUUUGAAAAGUUUGCAUAUGUCAAAACUUUAAAUAUGUGCAGUUUAUUGUAUCAGUCACGUCUUCAUAAAGCUGUUUAAAAAGUCAUAGGCAUGGGGUAGGGGCUGAAAAAGUGGAGGAUAAGCAUCUGAGCAGCAGGAAAAGCACAUACAAACAUACAGAGGCAUUUUAUUUAAUAAACGCAUAAAAUUUACCUUCUCAGGCAAUGUUGCAGACGUGUUACAAAUAUUAACUCAUUUUCUCCUCACAGACUCCCCAGGAGGUAAGUACUAUUAAUAUCAUCCCUAUUGGAGUAAAGGAAAUUAAGGCACAAUGAUAUUAAAUAAUUUGCCCAAAAUCAUGGAAUAAUGGUCAUAGCUGGACUUUGUAUCCUCAAACCAAGAUUUAGAAUCAUGCUUUAAAUAAGACAACAAGCUAACUUCCAGGAACAUAUCUAGUAGUAUUUGCAGGUGUAUUUGAAGAGCCAGGUGACUGUAAUCAAAAGUGAAGGGAGAAGAGAGGAAACAGAAGACCUUGAAAAUAUAGGUUGGGGUUUGUUCAUAAUGCAAAGGUGUAUUGGAAGCCUUCUGAACGGUAUCUGUAUUUUGCGUGAACUAAUUUUCAUUUAUCAUCAUAUACUAAUUAUUAAUAUAUUUUCAGUGGAACUCAUCUUAAAGCAAUUUUUCCGUCACUUCCUCUGGGAUCCCAACCUUGAAAUAGAAGGCUCUUCCCAAGUCUUUUUCUCUCCUUUUCAUUUCCUGCUAAAACAUGUCUCUGCUGCUGCUGCUGCUGCUAAGUUGC